GAAUAUGUUUCUUGGAACAGAACGUCACAGAGGGUGAGAAUCCCGUGCGAUGAGAUGUCCCAGACCUAUGUAAAGUUCCUUCGAAGAGUCGAGUGUGGGAAUGCAGCUCUAAGUGGGUGGUAAAUUCCAUCUAAAGCUAAAUAUGGCGAGAGACCGAUAGCGAACAAGUACAGUGAUGUGAAAGAUGAAAAGAACUUUGAAAAGAGAGUGAAAAAGUACGUGAAAUUGUUGAAAGGGAAGGGCUUGAGAUCAGACUUGGUAUUUUGUAUGUUACUCUCUCGGGGGUGGCCUCUACAGUUUACCGGGCCAGGCAUCAAGUUUGACGCGGUAGGAUAAGUGCAAAAGAAAUGUGGCACUGCUUCGGUAGUGUGUUAUACGUCUUUGUACGAUAACUGCCAGCUUAAGACUGAGGACUUGCGGGCUUCGGCCUUAGAU
rnacentral:rRNA from 1 species